rnacentral:rRNA from 1 species
UACUAGAGGUCCCGCCUGCCCUGUGACCACAAAGUUUAACGGCCGCGGUAUCCUGACCGUGCGAAGGUAGCGUAAUCAUUUGUCUUUUAAAUAGAGACCUGUAUGAAUGGCAUAACGAGGGUUUAACUGUCUCCUUCCCCUAGUCAAUGAAAUUGAUCUGCCCGUGCAGAAGCGGACAUAAAUACAUAAGACGAGAAGACCCUAUGGAGCUUUAGACAAAAGAUCAAACAUGUAAAGAAACCAAAAACCCAAAAGGAACACAAAGACCGUAAAACCAGACGUAAACUGAUCCAAAUGUCUUCGGUUGGGGCGACCAUGGGGGAAAGAAAAACCCCCACGAGGAACAGGGAAUACCCCUAAACUUAGAGAGACACCUCCAAGUAACAGAAAAUCUGACCAAAAAUGACCCAGGAUAUUAAUCCUGAUCAACGAACCAAGUUACCCUAGGGAUAACAGCGCAAUCCUUUCCCAGAGUCCAUAUCGACGAAAGGGUUUACGACCUCGAUGUUGGAUCAGGACAUCCUAAUGGUGCAGCCGCUAUUAAGGGU